UACGUAGGUGGCAAGCGUUGUCCGGAUUUACUGGGCGUAAAGAGCGCGCAGGCGGUCGUUCAAGUCGCGUGUGAAAGCCCCCGGCUCAACUGGGGAGGGUCACGCGAUACUGAUCGACUCGAAGGCAGGAGAGGGUAGUGGAAUUCCCGGUGUAGUGGUGAAAUGCGUAGAUAUCGGGAGGAACACCAGUGGCGAAGGCGGAUCUCUGGGCCAUUACUGACGCUGAGGAGCGAAAGCGUGGGGAGCGAACAGG
rnacentral:rRNA from 1 species